AGAAAAACAUCGCAUGUUAAGGCCAAAAGAAGGCAGCUUGCAAACUGUCAAAAUUUCAUCGCCUAGGUUUUUGUUCCGAACGUGACAGAGGUUUGCCGCAGGAAUUCUCUUCGCUCAUAAUCGUAUAAUUUACACCUCUAAAAUCAGGAUGAACAACGUACCCCGAUUGGCGACUGUUGCCCGACCUUUCCUCAUGCAGCAACGAGCUGCUGGUUCGGUAACCGGAGGUCUGCCACAAGUGCGAGUCUCGUUCGGGGAAAAAGUCGCUCACGGGCUUUUCAUCUUUUGCGGUGUGCUGGCUUAUCCGGCCUGGGUUCUGGCCCACAUGAAAGAGUAUAAGGGUCAGAAGUAAGUCUAGAGCACAGCACUAACGGGAUGGGAUUUACCGUAGCCGGACCAAUCGAAGCGGACGAUCUCUGGUACUUCUGGUAGGGUCCGUAUCGUUUGUUAUCCAGCGUGGCUGUAUGUUAAGUCUUAAAGUGCUAUAAAUUGAAAUUGGAAUAAAGUGAAUGUAGAGUUAAACAA